rnacentral:rRNA from 1 species
AUUGAACGCUGGCGGCAUGCUUUACACAUGCAAGUCGAACGGUAACAGGGUGCUUGCACCGCUGACGAGUGGCGAACGGGUGAGUAAUGCGUCGGAACGUGCCGAGUAGUGGGGGAUAACGCAGCGAAAGUUGUGCUAACACCGCAUACGUACUGAGGUAGAAAGUGGGGGUCCUUCGGGCCUCACGCUAUUCGAGCGGCCGACGUCUGAUUAGCUAGUAGGUGAGGUAAAGGCUCACCUAGGCGACGAUCAGUAGCGGGUCUGAGAGGAUGAUCCGCCACACUGGGACUGAGACACGGCCCAGACUCCUACGGGAGGCAGCAGUGGGGAAUUUUGGACAAUGGGCGAAAGCCUGAUCCAGCCAUGCCGCGUGUCUGAAGAAGGCCUUCGGGUUGUAAAGGACUUUUGUCAGGGAGGAAAUCCCUAGUGCUAAUAACACUGGGGGAUGACAGUACCUGAAGAAUAAGCACCGGCUAACUACGUGCCAGCAGCCGCCGUAA